GUCAUUGUGGCAAAAUAAGGAAAAUCAAACGUCCAUGUCUUUGGGCAGCCUGCCAUAUAUCUCUCGCUAUAACUGGCAUCUCUCUCUCUCUCUCUCGUCGUCCCGACCAGGCUUAUCCCUAUGCCUAGCACCCUCCUCCCCUACCUCCUCAAUUCAAAGUGCAAAGCUUACAAGGAAUGUAAUGUUGGGAAGGUAAUGCAAAAAUUCACCUCCCAUUUACCUAUGAUAUUCUCCUCAAUGCUAAAGGCUCUUUUCAUCCUAAAAAAUUUAUGGAGGCACCAAAAGUUAUUGUGUAGAUAGAAUAAUGUAGACUUUUUUUUGUUGGUAGCUUUUUCCGAAAGAGAUAGAGGAGGAUACUUGGGUAAAAAUAAAAAUUUGGGUUUUAGCAAACCCUAGCUUCUUAGUGGUUUUUUUAUUAUUGGGCUGAAUUUUAUCGGGAUUCUUUUGUGGUGACGGUGUUAGUUGAUGGAGGUAAAGCAAGAUGUCGAUCGAUAGUGUGACUGUGGUAGAAAAUAUAAAUUUGAGUUUUUUUUACAAUUGUAUGAUGUAUUCUCUACUAUACCCUAAAACUGGUAAUUUUUCCAUUAAUAACG
rnacentral:lncRNA from 1 species